rnacentral:rRNA from 1 species
UACGGAGUGUGCAAGCGUUACUCGGAAUCACUGGGCGUAAAGGGCGCGUAGGCGGCCUCAGGUGUCGGAUGUGAAAGCCCGGGGCUCAACCCCGGAGGUGCAUCCGAAACUCUGGGGCUGGAGGCCGGAAGAGGAGGGUGGAAUACCCAGUGUAGAGGUGAAAUUCGUAGAUAUUGGGUGGAACACCGGUGGCGAAAGCGGCUCUCUGGUCCGGACCUGACGCUGAGGCGCGAAAGCGUGGGGAGCAAACAGG